rnacentral:lncRNA from 1 species
UAUGUGACAUACCAUACUCAGUACAAAUUUCCCAUCACCCAGUGCAAAACAACACCUAAAUAAACUCUUUGGUGCAAUACAACACGGGGUGGUGGGACCAGGGUGGGCAGAGGCACUGUGGUGUCUCCAUCAUGCAUUUCUGUCACCCAGAGAGGAGCAGACAGAGCCCUGCCAGCACCCCAUGGGUGUCCCACCCCAAAACUUGUCAGGUCGAGGGCUGGAUGCUGCAGGGAUGGAGGAAUCGCUCCCUGGGAAUGAGCUGCUGGAAUGUGCUGCCUGCUGGGAGGGAGGGUGCCCCCUUGCCAGUGACUGUCACCCCUGUGACAGGGAGGUGGCAACGGGGCACACCUGGGGGCAGAGCUCCCUAAAAUGGAGCUUUGAGGGGAAUCAGGGUCCCCAGAGGGUCUCUCAGCACUGUGUGGGGCUCAGCACCCUCUGUGGGUGCCACCUCUGGCCCCCUUAGGGCUCUCCCUUGUGCGGCUGAAUCCACCCAACCCUGCUGCACCCCAAACUGCAGUGGGAUGGGCUCCGGCUGCUCCCAGCCCCCACGUCAUGCCCAGGGCCUCAUGGUCACUCCCAGGGCCUCCAGUUCAUUUCCAGUGCCCCCAAUUCGCUCCCAAUUGCCCCAGUGCCCCCAGGUCACUCCCAGUGGCUCCCAAUUCACUCUCAGUGCCCCUCAGUUCAUUCCCAAUUGCCCCAGUGCCCCCUGGUCACCCCCAGUGCUCCCCAAUUUACUCCCAGGACUCCAUGGUGACCCCCAGUGCCCCCCAGGUCACUUCCAGUGCCCCCAGUUAACCCCCAUGGUCACUCCCAGGGCCCCAGCCAUGUCCCCACUGGCCCUGUGCCUGUUGUGCUGCCCAUGCCCCCAUAACCAGCCUCUUCCUGCCCUGUUUCUCCCCAGCUCUUCGGCUUCGUCUACGCCUGCUACGUCAGCAAAGUGUUCCUGGAGGAGGAGGACAGCUUUGAUUUCAUCGGCGGCUUUGACUCCUACGGGUACCAGGCACCGCAGAAGACGUCACACCUGCAGCUACAGCCGCUCUACACCUCGGGAUAACCGGAGCCAGCGGCGCCAGGACCCCGCGGUGCCACCACCCCCUGAUGCCACCACCCCGGGCGCGACGGGGCCACCACGGCGAUCACCCGGGACACGGCGGGGGCUGUGCCACCCCCUGGGCACCCCCUGCCCGCCGUGGGGACGCGGGGACAGCACGGAGGUGGCAGCGCUCACGGACACCGCUGGAUGUGUUUGUCCCAGCCUGGCUUUUCCAUGGAGCAGCGGAGUUUGGGACAGGGACAAGGACAGGGACAGCACCGCCCUGGGGACAGGCAGGGUUGGGACAAUGGCCUGCCACUCCGGAUCUGGCUCAGACUGGCUCCAAGCACGGGAUUUGUGCUCCCACAGGAAUUCUCCCACCGGGAUGAAGCAGCAGUGCCGGGACUCGCUCCGGGACGCUCCGAGGAGUCGGAUCCGACCCCUGAUUUGGGGACAAUGGGGACCCUGAGCCCCCUGCACCCCCUCCCUGCCACGUUUGGGGGCCGUGCUCCGAGCUGGGAGCCCCGAGGCUGCUGUGGCCCCUCCCCGGCCCUUGGAACGAUCUGAUGAAUGUUUUGGGUUUUGCUUUGGGAUUUUUUUUCUUCCAAUCAUUUUUUUGGGCUUUUAUUUAAUUUAAAGUGCCUGAGUAGACUCUGGCUGAGCAGACCCCCCCUCUCCAAGGCUGACACCGUGCCUUCAGCAGGGCUGGGACCCCCAGGGCCCCCCAAACCUCACCCAGGGCUGGCGGUCCCACCCUGGUCCCUUCAUCCAUGGGGGGCUCGGUGCCAAAUUCAUCCAUCAGCUCCAGGGGCACAGGGACACCGGCACUGGGGGAGGAUUUUGGGGGGUGUCAGUGGGCUGGGCAGGGAUUGCUUUGCAGGAGGAAGAUCAGCUGGGAAGGAAAAGCCUUGGAAGGAACUGGAAGGAAAAAAGGAGUUUCCUGGAGUGGCCCAGCUCCCCAGAAGCUCCUCGCUCUCCUUUCCAUGGGAUGUGGCUCCUCCAGGAUCCUGGAUCUGCUCCCAGGCCCACCCUGCACCCCCGGGAGGGAGCUGGGGAAUUUGGGUGGAUUUCACCUCCCAGCUGUUUCUCCUCCAGUGCCAGGGGAGUUUUUUACACCCUGGAAUGGUUUUUGGCCCUUCCCCACAGGGAGCCCUGGAAGUGCCAGGAGCUGGGAUGGGCUGAGCCACCUCCAGCCAAGCUGUGAACUCUACAGGCAAUAAUUUUCCACCCUUUGCCCCUCUUUUUUCCAUGGAAAAUUGUGGUUUUUUCAGGCAGUGAUCCCCCUCAUCCCCCAGAGCACCUCCCCAAGCCCUGGGGCCAGCAGCAUCUCUGGGGUUUAUUUUCUUCUCCAGGUCCAAGGAUGCUGCACUGGGAUGGGAUGGGAUGGGAUGGAUGGACAGGCAGACACUCCCCAUGUCCCAACCCUUCCCAAAGCCAGCAGGAAGAGCUCACUGCAUUAAAGCUCUUGG